AUUGAAAGCUAGCGGCAGGCCUAACACAUGCAAGUCAAACGAGUGGCGGGCGGGUGAGUAAUGUCUGGGAAACUGCCCGAUGGAGGGGGAUAACUACUGGAAAAGGUAGCUAAUAGCGCAUACCAUCGGAUGUCACCAGAUGGUAUUAGCUAGUAGGGGGGGGAACGGCUCACCUAGGCGACGAUCCCUAGCUGGUCUGAGAGGAUGACCAGCCACACUGGAACUGAGACACGGUCCAGACUCCUACGGGAGGCAGCAGUGGGGAAUAUUGCACAAUGGGCGCAAGCCUGAUGCAGCCAUGCCGCGUGUAUGAAGAAGGCCUUCGGGUUGUAAAGUACUUUCAGCGAGGAGGCGUUACUCGCAGAAGAAGCACCGGCUAACUCCGUGCCAGCAGCCGCGGUAAUAC
rnacentral:rRNA from 1 species